CACAAAUUUAACUGUUCCGACCUUCAUGUCUGCCUUUCGAAGAUUCGCAAGCCGCAAGUCCUUACCAAAAAUUAUGGUGUCAGACAAUGCAUCAACGUACCAAUCUGCCGCGGAAGAGUUGACCCUACUAUUCAAUUCAACAGAGUUGGAAACCAAUCUCAGUAAACGAGGAAUCCAGUGGAAAUUUAUCCCAAAACGAGCACCAUGGUACGGUGGUUUCUGGGAAAGAUUAAUUGGUCUGACAAAAAACUCCUUGAAAAAGGUUCUCGGAAAGGCGAAUGUCACUUUAGAAGAGCUCCAAACAAUUUCCUCCGAAACGGAAGCAAUCCUGACCAAUGACCGCCCGUUAACCCACGUAUCAUCAGAACUAGACGACACAGAACCAUUAACACCAUCCCAUCUACUGUAUGGCCGGAGAAUUACCACCUUACCCCACCCCCUUUACGAAGACGACGAGUUUCGUGAUCCUAUCUAUGAAUCCGAACCUAGUAACAUUGAUGUCCAAGCAAAAUUGAGAACACACCUAAUACAACACUUUUGGAAACGUUGGCGUCAAGAAUAUCUGACGAGCUUACGGGAAUUUCAUAAACCCACUGGAAACAAUUCAACCGAGAUACGUGUUGGUGAUGUCGUUCAAGUACACGAUGACACGAAACGUGUUAACUGGAGACUUGCUGUUGUACAAAGUUUAAUCAAAGGAAAAGACGGACUAGUACGGGCAGCAAAUAUCAAAACAAGUACUGGACAUACGAACAGACCAGUAACUAAACUUUACCCACUCGAAGUUAGAUCCACAACAACAGAGAACCCAAAGAUCACCAUUGACGAAAACCUAGACGCAAAGAAUCCCUCAACAAAUCCUCACCCAGCUGACGUCAUAGAUCAAACGUCAAGCAGACCUGUUCGAGCAAAAGCACGAUUGGCAAAGGAGAAAUUGAAACAGUGGGCAUCCAUACUCUCGCGCCCCCCGGAGGAUGUCGAGAAUUGACAGUACUUUGAACAUUAUAGAUAUCUUGCACGCAUUCUAAUAUAAACAGUUCAUUAUUAAUAUCUUAUAUCGAACACGGUUAGUUAAUUGAACUAGGAUAGAAUUACACUUGCACUAGGAUAACUGGGAC